rnacentral:tRNA from 1 species
GGUCCGAUAGCUCAGGUGGCAGAGCAACUGACUCUUAAUCAGUGGGUCUAGGGUUCGAAUCCCUAUCGGACCACCA